rnacentral:rRNA from 1 species
UCCAGACUCCUACGGGAGGCAGCAGUGAGGAAUAUUGGUCAAUGGGCUUACGCCUGAACCAGCCAAGUCGCGUGAGGGAAGACUGCCCUAUGGGUUGUAAACCUCUUUUGUCAGGGAGCAACGCCGGCUACGUGUAGCCGGACUGAGAGUACCUGAAGAAAAAGCAUCGGCUAACUCCGUGCCAGCAGCCGCGGUAAUACGGAGGAUGCGAGCGUUAUCCGGAUUUACUGGGUGUAAAGGGAGCGCAGGCGGCACGGCAAGCCUGAUGUGAAAGCCCGGGGCCCAACCCCGGGACUGCUCUUGGAACUGCGGGGCUGGAGUGCAGGAGGGGCAGGCGGAAUUCCUGGUGUAGCGGUGAAAUGCGUAGAUAUCAGGAGGAACACCGGUGGCGAAGGCGGCCUGCUGGACUGCGACUGACGUUGAGGCCCGAAAGCGUGGGGAGCAAACAGGAUUAGAUACCCCUGUAG